rnacentral:lncRNA from 1 species
CUAAGUAAAGACAUACAUUCAUUUAUUCAUUUCUCAGAUGUUGUCUAAUGCCUUCUGUGUGCCAGGUGCUGUUCUAGGCACUUGAAGAUACAAAGAGGAGCAAAACAGACAAAAACUCCUGCCCUCUUGGACCUCACUUGGUAAAGGGGAGACAGAGAGGAAACAGAAGAGACUGAAAAAUAUACAUCGUACAGUGGUGUCAGACGUUGGUAAGUGAAAGGAAGAAACAUCGAUUAGAAUAACUCCUCACCUUAGUGAGGAGGAUGCUAAGUUAGAUAAGAUUAUGAUGUGAUGUUUCUCUGAUCAGAUGACAAUUUAGUGGAGACCUCAACGAAGCAAGGGAACGAGACCUAUGGAUAUGUUGGGCGGUGUUUUUCAGGCAGGGAGCAGCUAGUGACAGAUCCUUGAGAAUGGAACACACCUGGAAGUUUCGAGCAAUGGCAAGUGCGCUGGCUAGAGCACCAAGACUGACCCGUCGAGUGGGUGAGGCAGUGAGGCCACAGGAUCUUACCAGAGGCGCUCAACAGUUUGGACACCCUGGGAUUUAGCAGUGUUUAAAGGAGAAAACGACUUCCAACAGGCUAAGCUUUCCUUGAGCACCCACUAGACACAAAACAAGUCUGGAUGUUGCAGUGGUAUCCUAAAAAAGAAGAAAAAAGGAGGUAAUACAGGUGAGUGAUGCAAUAGAAAACGAUAAAAAAAAUCUAUACCUUUGUGAAUUCUGCAAGUGAUUGGCAAAUUUGACUGCGAGAGCAAAGAGAAGAGGAAAAGUAAUUCUGCCUGGAGUGAGGGGUGAGGGCUGGGGUGGAAACAGGGCUGUAAAAGAAGGUGGUAUUUGUAGAUGCUGGGAAGGGUGGUUCCUCUGGCCCCAAUUGCUUGUUUCUUGAUUCAUUUAUUUAUUUAGGUGCAGAUCUGCUAAAUAAUUUAAAUCAUGAACUGAGAACCACUAAAACCAGUAAUUUGU